rnacentral:rRNA from 1 species
CCUACGGGAGGCAGCAGUGAGGAAUAUUGGUCAAUGGACGAGAGUCUGAACCAGCCAAGUAGCGUGAAGGAUGACUGCCCUAUGGGUUGUAAACUUCUUUUAUAUGGGAAUAAAAUGUUCCACGUGUGGGAUUUUGUAUGUACCAUAUGAAUAAGGAUCGGCUAACUCCGUGCCAGCAGCCGCGGUAAUACGGAGGUUCCGAGCGUUAUCCGGAUUUAUUGGGUUUAAAGGGAGCGCAGGUGGAUUGUUAAGUCAGUUGUGAAAGUUUGCGGCUCAACCGUGAAACUGCAGGUGAAACUGGCAGUCUUGAGUACAGUAGAGGUAGGCGGAAUUCGUGGUGUAGCGGUGAAAUGCUUAGAUAUCACGAAGAACUCCGAUUGCGAAGGCAGUUCACUGGACUGCAACUGACACUGAGGCUCGAAAGUGUGGGUAUCAAACAGGAUUAGAUACCCGAGUAGUC